rnacentral:rRNA from 1 species
UCUUGGUCAUUUAGAGGAAGUAAAAGUCGUAACAAGGUUUCCGUAGGUGAACCUGCGGAAGGAUCAUUACAGAGAUCGUGCCCCUCGGGGUAGACCUCCCACCCGUGCGUACCUACCUUUGUUGCUUUGGCGGGCCGCCCGCGCGCCCGCCAGAGGAUCGCAAUCCGGCUGACAGUGUCGUCCGAGCACCACACAAUCGUGAAAACUUUCAACAACGGAUCUCUUGGCUCUGGCAUCGAUGAAGAACGCAGCGAAAUGCGAUAAGUAAUGUGAAUUGCAGAAUUCAGUGAAUCAUCGAAUCUUUGAACGCACAUUGCGCCCCCUGGCACUCCGGGGGGCAUGCCUGUUCGAGCGUCGCGACAACCCUCACGCGCCGCGUGGUGUUGGGGCCCGCCGCCCGGCGGCCCCUAAAGGCAGUGGCGGCGCCGGCGUGGCUCUACGCGUAGUAACUCUCUCGCGACAGGGCGCGCCGGCGACCGGCCAGAACCCCCCACUUUCACCGGUUGACCUCGGAUCAGGUAGGGAUACCCGCUGAACUUAAGCAUAUCAAUAAGCGGAGGAA